ACAUUAUAGUGUUCACCACACAAUUGAAUUUAAAAGUUCACAAUUUCCAAACUUUUUAUUAUAUAUAUUAUUUAGAGAUAUAUGAUAUGGAUGAAAUUUGUCUGUUUAUUUUCCAUCUAAAAAGAAAUUUGCACAAAAUAAGAAAACAAAGUACUAUUAUUUACUAACAAUACAGACUGUUAAUUCACAUUUAUAAAAUUUUGACAUUAUUAAUGUAAAUCUUCUACAUCUUUCUUGCUGACUUUGCAGCAAUUUUGUUUUGUGAUCUCAGUUUCAGCUCACCUGGCCCAAAGGGCCAAGUGAGCUUUUCUCAUCACUUGGCGUCUGUAGUCGUUGUCCGUCGUCGUUAACUUUUUACAUUUUGAACUUCUUCUAGCGAACCACUGAAUGGAAUGAAACCAAACAUGGCAUGAAUGUUCCUUAUGAGGUGCUGACCAAGUGUUGCUAUUUGAAGCCGAUUCAUAAUCGAAGAUGGCCGCCAGCGGGGGACUUAAAUUAAUAUAGGACCCUAUGGGAAAUAUUUACAAAUGUCUUCUUUUAGAGAACCACUGAAUGUAAUGAAACCAAACAUGGAUGUUCCUUAUGAGGUGCUGACCAAGUGUUGUUACUUUGAAGCCGAGCCAUAAUCCAAGAUGGCCGCCAGCAGCGGACUUACUUUAACAUAGGACCCUUUGGGAAAUACAUACAAAUGUUUUCUUUUAGAGAACCACUGAAUGGAAUGAAACCAAACAUGGUAUGAAUGUUCCUUAUGAGGUGCUGACCAAGUGUUGUUACUUUGAAGCUGAUCCAUAAUCCAAGAUGGCCGCCAGCGGGGGACUUAGUUUAACAUAGGACCCUUUGGGAAAUACAUACAAAUGUUUUCUUUUAGAGAACCACUGAAUGGAAUGAAACCAAACAUGACAUGAAUGUUCCUUAUGAGGUGCUGACCAAGUGUUGUUACUUUGAAGCCGAUCCAUCAUCCAAGAUGGCCGCCAGCUUGGGACAAUGUUUAACAAAGGACCCUAUGGACAAUACAUACAAAUGUCUUCUUUUAGAGAACCACUGAAUGGAUUGAAACCAAACAUAGCAUGAAUGUUCCUUAUGAGGUGCUGACUAAGUGUUGUUACUUUGAAGCUAAUCCUUCAUUCACGAUGGCUGCCAGCAGGAGGACUUCCUUUAGCAUAAGACCCUAUGGGAAAUACAUACAAAUGUCUUCUUUUAGAGAACCACUGAAUGGAAUGAAACUAAACAUGGCAUGAAUGUUCCUUAUGAGGUGCUGACCAAGUGUUGUUACUUUGAAGUCGAUCCAUCAUUAAAGAUGGCCGCCAGCGGGGGACUUAGUUUAACAUAGGACCCUAUGGGAAAUACAUACAAAUGUCUUCUUUUAGAGAACCAUUGAAUGGAAUGAAACCAAACAUGGCAUAAAUGUUUCUUAUGAGGAGCUGAUGAAGUGUUGCUACUUUGUUGCCGAUUUACUGUUCAAGAUGGCCACCGGGAAUUUUUAUUAAACUACAGGGCCAAUAUUAAACCAAAUUUGGCCUCACUCAUUAUUAGGGUAUCUGUUGUGAUUUUAAUCUAUUCCAAAACAAAAGUAGAAUCAGGUGAGCGACACAGGCUCUUGAGAGCCUCUAGUUAUGAUAUAUUUAUAUAAUGGAAGAUCCAAGAUUCACAAUUAGGAACAAACAAAAUCUGUGUUAUUUUCUACUUGCGAAAAUAUGUGUUAGUUUCUACUUGCGAAAAUAAAUAAAAAAUUAGUUGGUUUCUGUUGUGGUAGAAUAAUUACUAUUAGUUUUAAUUAUGCAAAUUUCAUCCUGUCAAAAUUUUACUUGAAUAAAAACAUUGUUGUUUUUUUCAAUGCUUAAAAUGUUAUUUAGCUCGAAAAAUAUUUCAAAUGCCAAAUGGUUAAUAGUUUGACCAUAAGAUCACAACUUUAAAAUUAGCAUAGAUAAUGUAUGUAACAUGCUAUAAACAUAGCAGAUCUGUGUUCCUAUAGACAGAAGAUCAGAAAAAAAUGUCACACACUUUCAGUAUUUUAAGAGUGGUUGUUUAAUUUGGCCACGAAUUACUUUGCAUUUUUUGCUCACCUGGCCCAUAGGUCUUGUCUUCUAUUGUUUUUUCCCAAAACAAAAGGAUCAAAAACUGUCAUUUAAGGGCACAAAAAGAGUUGACCAACAAUUUCAGCAAUAUGAACUUGUUUAAAGAUUUUGCCUUGUGGAUCAUUUUUCUAUUUAAAGCUUUUCUGUAUCUAUAUUAUAGUUUCAAGAUACUAGGCAAAAAAAGAUAAAAAAAAAUAAAAAUCAUCAUUAAAGAGCAACAACUCCAGUAAGAAGUAAACUGAUGAUUUCGGCCUUGAUGACAUAUUUCAAGGUCUUGUUUUGCUGAUUAUUUUUGCCAAUUAAAAUAUCUAUUUGUCUAUUAUAGUUUUAAGGAUAAUAGGCAAACAUGCAAAAAAUUAAAAUUUGUCAUUAAAGGGUAAUAACUCCUUAUAAUAAUUCGUCUGACAGUUUUGAUGUAAAUAGACAGUAGAUAGAUAUCAACAUUCUAAACUUUUAGGACAAUGUCAGAUUUUCUUGAUCUGUAGUGGUUGAUAAUUUGCCUGUGUUCUAUUUUUACCAAUGUUGGCAAUGUUUGUUGGCAGAUUUGGUCAUUGCACACACUUGUUAAACUAUACUCACCAAUGAUUGUGGCCAUGUUUGGUUAAUUUUGGGCCAGGUGAGCUAAAAAAAACUUAUGAUGUGGAAAUGACCAAGAUUGUUUCAAAGCUAUGUUACAUAUAUCAAUUGCAAGACAAAACAACUUCUUACCAGGUUGCAAUUAUUUGUUAUAUACAAGUAUAAACUAAAAUGCGAGUUCUUGUUUUUUAGGUUUGAAAGUUGAAUAGUGUCUUUUCGAGAAAGAUUUGAUAAUUAUUACUUAAUGAUUGUGCCAAAUUAAAUUAUUAAAUACAGAAAAUCAGUUCAA